rnacentral:rRNA from 1 species
UACGUAGGGCGCAAGCGUUGUCCGGAUUCACUGGGCUUAAAGGGUGCGCAGGCGGCCGGUCAAGUCGGAGAUGAAAUCGUGGGGCUCAACCCUGCGGCUGUCUCCGAUACUGACUGGCUGGAGUGGGGGCGAGGCGGCCGGAAUGGAUGGUGUAGCGGUGAAAUGCGUAGAGAUCAUCCGGAACGCCGAUUGCGAAGGCAGGCCGCCAGCCCCGCACUGACGCUCAGGCACGAAAGCGCGGGUAGCGAACAGG